rnacentral:rRNA from 1 species
UACGAAGGGUGCAAGCGUUAAUCGGAAUUACUGGGCGUAAAGCGUGCGCAGGCGGUUCUAUAAGACAGAUGUGAAAUCCCCGGGCUCAACCUGGGAACUGCAUUUGUGACUGUAGAGCUGGGGUACGGUAGAGGGGGAUGGAAUUCCGCGUGUAGCAGUGAAAUGCGUAGAUAUGCGGAGGAACACCGAUGGCGAAGGCAAUCCCCUGGACCUGUACUGACGCUCAUGCACGAAAGCGUGGGGAGCAAACAGG